rfam:Aspergillus aculeatus ATCC 16872 unplaced genomic scaffold ASPACscaffold_21, whole genome shotgun sequence.
GCACCGGUGGCUCAGUGGUAGAGCGUCGCACUCGUAAUGCGAAGGUCGUGGGUUCAAACCCCAUUCGGUGCA